rnacentral:rRNA from 1 species
GACGAACGCUGGCGGCGUGCUUAACACAUGCAAGUCGAACGGUAAGGCCCUUCGGGGUACACGAGUGGCGAACGGGUGAGUAACACGUGGGUGAUCUGCCCUGCACUUCGGGAUAAGCCUGGGAAACUGGGUGUAAUACCGGAGAGGACCACUGCCUACAGGGGUGGUGGUGGAAAGCUUUUGCGGUGUGGGAUGGGCCCGCGGCCUAUCAGCUUGUUGGGGGGGUGAUGGCCUACCAAGGCGACGACGGGUAGCCGGCCUGAGAGGGUGACCGGCCACACUGGGACUGAGAUACGGCCCAGACUCCUACGGGAGGCAGCAGUGGGGAAUAUUGCACAAUGGGCGCAAGCCUGAUGCAGCGACGCCGCGUGAGGGAUGACGGCCUUCGGGUUGUAAACCUCUUUCAGCACCGACGAAGCGCAAGUGACGGUAGGUGCAGAAGAAGGACCGGCCAACUACGUGCCAGCAGCCGCAGUAACAC